GUAGGAGCGGUGCUGCAGGACGAGAACGGAUGCCUACUGCAGUACUUUAAGGUCACGGGGUGUGAACUAUCCACUCGCAGCUCUAAGAGCUUGAAGUUGCUCGUCCAGGAAGACUUGUGAAUUACCAGGGGGCUCUCAACGCCCAGUGCUACUUGAAUAUGAUAUCAGAGAUGACUUGUUCACGUCAGCAUUUACUGAUCUAGUGGCAUUAUUUGGUUGAUGGACCAGGAAUAACAAGAAGCAAAGAAUUAUCAUCUUGAAGAAGACCAACUUCAGAAGUACCACUUGCAUUUCUUGCAGAAGAAAGGCAUUCCCUGAGUGAAGGAUGAAGAGUGUAAACCCCUUUUACUUCUCAAAUGUCAAUUCAAGAAAGAAAGGAGCCAUUGCAAGCAGAGUUCCUGGCGAGGCUGGCCCCAGGCAUCCCUGUCAAGUGGAUGCUUACAGUGGCACUUUCAGCUUUCUCCUGCCUUGCUAUACCUGGUGGGCUCUACGCUGUGCUUCAUACAGGCAUUCUACCGUCCCCUCUACCAACUCCCUCUUUCAGGGAAGGAGCUGGAUGUUAUCUUGACUGGCACAAAGGCUGGUUCACAGCUGACAGCUUGUGGUUUCCUACUGACUACAAGUUUUUUUUUUGAAGACUAAAAAUGUC
rnacentral:lncRNA from 1 species